CUGCAAUUCAGUUCAGUUAAACCCAACUUUGACUUGUGUAUUAACAUAUUGCUGUUAGAUCUCUUGAGAAAGGCUUUGACUGUAAGCAUACCUAAACUUUUUAAUUUUUCAUGCAUGCCACUAGCAACAGGAAUGAGUAGAGUCUGGCAGGCCCCUUUAGGCAUGGCAGGUCUCUCCUUCUGUCACUGUGAACGUUGCACAUUGUCAAUGCACUAGUUUUAAAAUGUGUCAACCUAUGAGCAGCCCUCCCUGACCGGGGGCCCCAUGCAGUACCCUUUGGUUAGAAGAUCUUAUGAUAUUGCGUCAGUUUACUUUCAUUCUUGUAGCUGCAGCUCCUCAAGACCUGUACUUCACUGGCACUGGAGUUUUAGCUAAUUUCUUUGAUCAGAGCAGCUUCUCUCAGACAGGGAAUGAACGGGUUGUGCAAAAGGAUCUUUCUGCUGAUUUUUACAGUGGGAGCAGUAAUUAGAAGCACAAUCCAGGACUCAGAAAUUAAACCUGUGAUCCCAGCAACAGUUGAAGUGUGUUCAGGAUCUAACGCUACCAUCAACUGUACUUUCACAACAGAUUCUGAAGGCCUCAAAAUAAGAUGGCUUUUUAAUUCCUCGUCUAGUGAAUCUAAGAUAGAUCACAACGACGAGCAUUAUGAUCUUAAAAAUGAAAAGACGUGGUCGGCACUGACUAUUAAAGAAGUUACGUUUAAUGACAGUGGAUUGUACUAUUGUGUGGUUACACAGGACAUCCCUAGCUUAAAAGACUACUACAGCAAUGGAUCUCUAUUAAAUGUAAUCGUGGGAGCAGUGAAUAGGAGCACAAUACAGGACUCGGAAAUUAAACCUGUGGUCCCGGCAACAGUUGAAGUGUGUUCAGGAUCUUACGCUACCAUCAACUGUACUUUCACAACAGAUUCUGAAGGCCUCAAAAUAAGAUGGCAUUUUAAUUCCUCGUCUAGUCAACCUAAGACAGAAGAUAACGACGAGCAUUAUGAGAUUAAAAAUGGAAAGACGUGGUCGGCGCUGACUAUUAAAGAAGUUACGUUUAAUGACAGUGGAUUGUACUAUUGUGUGGUUAUACAGGAUAUCCCUAUAUUAAAAGAAUACUACAGCAAUGGCUCUCAAUUAAAUGUAAUCGGUAAGUAAAAGCUAUUUUUAAUGUUUAAAAUCUCAUACAUAAUCUAGCUUAUUUUAAACACU
rnacentral:lncRNA from 1 species